rnacentral:rRNA from 1 species
ACGCUGGCGGCGUGCCUAAUACAUGCAAGUAGAACGCUGAAGGAGAAGCUUGCUUCUCUGGAUGAGUUGCGAACGGGUGAGUAACGCGUAGGUAACCUGCCUGGUAGCGGGGGAUAACUAUUGGAAACGAUAGCUAAUACCGCAUAAUAGUAGAUGUUGCAUGACAUUUGCUUAAAAGGUGCAAUUGCAUCACUACCAGAUGGACCUGCGUUGUAUUAGCUAGUUGGUGGGGUAACGGCUCACCAAGGCGACGAUACAUAGCCGACCUGAGAGGGUGAUCGGCCACACUGGGACUGAGACACGGCCCAGACUCCUACGGGAGGCAGCAGUAGGGAAUCUUCGGCAAUGGACGGAAGUCUGACCGAGCAACGCCGCGUGAGUGAAGAAGGUUUUCGGAUCGUAAAGCUCUGUUGUAAGAGAAGAACGAGUGUGAGAGUGGAAAGUUCACACUGUGACGGUAUCUUACCAGAAAGGGACGGCUAACUACGUGCCAGCAGCCGCGGUAAUACGUAGGUCCCGAGCGUUGUCCGGAUUUAUUGGGCGUAAAGCGAGCGCAGGCGGUUAGAUAAGUCUGAAGUUAAAGGCUGUGGCUUAGCCAUAGUACGCUUUGGAAACUGUUUAACUUGAGUGCAAGAGGGGAGAGUGGAAUUCCAUGUGUAGCGGUGAAAUGCGUAGAUAUAUGGAGGAACACCGGUGGCGAAAGCGGCUCUCUGGCUUGUAACUGACGCUGAGGCUCGAAAGCGCGGGGAGCAAACAGGAUUAGAUACCCUGGUAGUCCACGCCGUAAACGAUGAGUGCUAGGUGUUAGACCCUUUCCGGGGUUUAGUGCCGCAGCUAACGCAUUAAGCACUCCGCCUGGGGAGUACGACCGCAAGGUUGAAACUCAAAGGAAUUGACGGGGGCCCGCACAAGCGG